rnacentral:rRNA from 1 species
GGCCUAAUACAUGCAAGUCGAACGGUAACAGGGUAGCAAUACCGAUGACGAGUGGCGCACGGGUGAGUAACGCGUAUGCAACCUACCUUUAACCGGGGGAUAGCUUCGAGAAAUCGGAAUUAAUACCCCAUAAUGAUGCGGAAAGGCAUCUUUCUGCAUCUAAGGCUCCGGCUGUUAAAGAUGGGCAUGCGUGACAUUAGCUAGUUGGUGAGGUAACUGCUCACCAAGGCGACGAUGUCUAGGGGGUCUGAGAGGAUGAUCCCCCACAAUGGUACUGAGACACGGACCAGACUCCUACGGGAGGCAGCAGUAAGGAAUAUUGGACAAUGGGCGCAAGCCUGUUCCAGCCAUGCCGCGUGAAGGAUGACGGCCCUAUGGGGGCUUUCUUC